GGGGAAUAUUGCACAAUGGGCGAAAGCCUGAUGCAGCAACGCCGCGUGAGCGAUGAAGGCCUUUGGGUCGUAAAGCUCUGUCCUUGGGGAAGAAAAAAAUGACGGUACCCUUGGAGGAAGCCCCGGCUAACUACGUGCCAGCAGCCGCGGUAAUACGUAGGGGGCAAGCGUUAUCCGGAAUUAUUGGGCGUAAAGAGUGCGUAGGUGGUCUUGUAAGCGCGGGGUGAAAGGCAAUAGCUUAACUAUUGUGAGCCCUGCGAACUGUGAGACUUGAGUGCAGGAGAGGAAAGCGGAAUUCCUAGUGUAGCGGUGAAAUGCGUAGAUAUUAGGAGGAACACCAGUGGCGAAGGCGGCUUUCUGGACUGUAACUGACACUGAGGCACGAAAGCGUGGGGAGCAAAC
rnacentral:rRNA from 1 species